rnacentral:rRNA from 1 species
GAUGAACGCUGGCGGCGUGCCUAAUACAUGCAAGUCGAGCGGACAGAUAAGGAGCUUGCUCCUUUGAAGUUAGCGGCGGACGGGUGAGUAACACGUGGGUAACCUACCUAUAAGACUGGGAUAACUUCGGGAAACCGGAGCUAAUACCGGAUAACAUUUAGAACCGCAUGGUUCUAAAGUGAAAGAUGGUUUCGCUAUCACUUAUAGAUGGACCCGCGCCGUAUUAGCUAGUUGGUAAGGUAACGGCUUACCAAGGCGACGAUACGUAGCCGACCUGAGAGGGUGAGCGGCCACACUGGAACUGAGACACGGUCCAGACUCCGACGGGAGGCAGCAGUAGGGAAUCUUCCGCAAUGGGCGAAAGCCUGACGGAGCAACGCCGCGUGAGUGAUGAAGGGUUUCGGCUCGUAAAACUCUGUUAUUAGGGAAGAACAAAUGUGUAAGUAACUGUGCACAUCUUGACGGUACCUAAUCAGAAAGCCACGGCUAACUACGUGCCAGCAGCCGCCGUAA